AAAUUGAAGAGUUUGAUCAUGGCUCAGAUUGAACGCUGGCGGCAGGCCUAACACAUGCAAGUCGAACGGUAACAGGAAGCAGCUUGCUGCUUUGCUGACGAGUGGCGGACGGGUGAGUAAUGUCUGGGAAACUGCCCGAUGGAGGGGGAUAACUACUGGAAACGGUGGCUAAUACCGCAUAACGUCGCAAGACCAAAGA
rnacentral:rRNA from 1 species